rnacentral:tRNA from 1 species
GCCUUCGUGGUGUAAUGGUAGCACACUCGGUGUGUAUUCGAAAAGGUCCAGGGUUCGAGUCCCGACGAGAGCA